AUUGAACGCUGGCGGCAGGCCUAACACAUGCAAGUCGAACGAGUGGCGGACGGGUGAGUAAUGUCUGGGAAACUGCCCGAUGGAGGGGGGUAACUACUGGAAACGGUAGCUAAUACAGCAUACCAUCGGAUGUGCCCAGAUGGGAUUAGCUUGUAGGUGGGGUAACGGCUCACCAAGGCGACGCUCCCUAGCUGGUCUGAGAGGAUGACCAGCCACACUGGAACGUAGACACGGUCCAGACUCCUACGGGAGGCAGCAGUGGGGAAUAUUGCACAAUGGGCGCAAGCCUGAUGCAGCCAUGCCGCGUGUAUGAAGAAGGCCUUCGGGUUGUAAAGUACUUUCAGCGGGGAGGCGUUACUCGCAGAAGAAGCACCGGCUAACUCCGUGCCAGCAGCCGCGGUAAUAC
rnacentral:rRNA from 1 species